UGGCGAAUAUUGCACAAUGGGCGCAAGCCUGAUGCAGCCAUGCCGCGUGUGUGAAGAAGGCCUUCGGGUUGUAAAGCACUUUCAGCGAGGAGGAAGGCGUUAAGGUUAAUAACCUUGGCGAUUGACGUUACUCGCAGAAGAAGCACCGGCUAACUCCGUGCCAGCAGCCGCGGUAAUACGGAGGGUGCAAGCGUUAAUCGGAAUUACUGGGCGUAAAGCGCACGCAGGCGGUUUGUUAAGUCAGAUGUGAAAUCCCCGAGCUUAACUUGGGAACUGCAUUUGAAACUGGCAAGCUAGAGUCUUGUA
rnacentral:rRNA from 1 species